rnacentral:rRNA from 1 species
GCCAGCAGCCAUAUCACUCUGCAACUCACAACUGGCAGCCCACUGAAGCUCAGCAGCUGCGAGCCUGGUCAGUACCUGGAUGGGAGACCUCCUGGGAAAAGCUAAGGCUGCUGCUGGAA